UUAAACUAGGGAUUAGAUACCCUAUUAUUAAAAUUUAAAUUGAAAAUACUAAAAUAGUAGGUAAUUAUUUAUUGAAACUUAAAUAAUUUGGCGGUAUUUUAGUUCAUUUAGAGGAAUCUGUUUAUUAAUUGAUAAUCCACGAAUAAAUUUACUUAAUUUUUUUUUAUUUUGUAUAUCGUUGUUAAAAAAAUAUUUUUUAAUAAUAAUAAUAUUUAAAAAUUUAAAUUAAAAAUUAAAUCAGAUCAAGAUGCAGAUUAUAAUUAAGAAUAUAAUGGAUUACAAUAAAUUUAUUUAAAUGGAUGUUAAUUUGUAAAAAUUAAUUAAAGGUGGAUUUAAAUGUAA
rnacentral:rRNA from 1 species